CGCCCCCUGAAAAAUUUUAAAGUAUAGGGGGUACUGCCUGCCCGGUGACAAUUGUGUUAAACGGCCGCGGUAUUUUUGACUGUGCGAAGGUAGCGUAAUCAUUUGCCCUUUGAUUGGGGGCUUGAAUGAACGGCAAGACAGAAGCUAUGCUGUCUUUUCUUUAAUUUCUUGAAUUUAAUAUUGUUGUGAAGAAGCGACAAUACGGCCGUAGGACGAGAAGACCCUGUCGAGCUUCACUAAGAGCGAUUUUGUUAAAUUAGAUUUUAAGGGCUAAUUAUUUUUAUACUGGUAAUAGUAGUAUUGUAGUUGUAAGUUACUCUUAGGUAAUCUAUUGGGAAGUUGUUUUAUUGUUUGGUUGGGGCAACCGCGGAGAACAGUAAUCCUCCGCUUUUUGUUAAGGAAAAGCCACGGCUUUGUUGUUUAAUAAUUUAUUUAAUAGGAUCCACUGCUUAAGUGAUUAAAGGAAUAAGUUACCGCAGGGAUAACAGCGUUAUUCUCUUGGAGAGUUCAUAUUGAUAAGGGAGUUUGCGACCUCGAUGUUGGAUCGGGAUAUCCUGGGGAUGUAGCAGUUCCUGAGGGUUGGUCUGUUCGACCAUUAAAAUCCU
rnacentral:rRNA from 1 species